UCAACGCGGGAAAACUUACCAGGGUCAAGUCUAUCGUAGAUUGGGGACAUGAGGUAGACAAGAGUGGUGCAUGGCCGUUGGAAAUUGAUGGGGCGACUUUUAGCUUAAGUGCUGGAACCAGUGAGAUCUUCUAGACAGGUGUUAUUUAGGCACAGGAGGGAGAAGGCAAUAACAGGUAGA
rnacentral:rRNA from 1 species